UGGGGAAUAUUGGGGCAAUGGGGCGAAAGCCUGACCCAGCGACGCCGCGUGAGGGAAGACGGUCUUCGGAUUGUAAACCUUUGUCAACAGGAACGAAACAAAUGACGGUACCUGUGGAGGAAGCCACGGCUAACUACGUGCCAGCAGCCGCGGUAAUACGUAGGUGGCGAGCGUUAUCCGGAUUUACUGGGUGUAAAGGGCGUGCAGCCGGGAAUGCAAGUCAGAUGUGAAAUCCAUGGGCUUAACCCAUGAACUGCAUUUGAAACUGUAUUUCUUGAGUACUGGAGAGGCAAUCGGAAUUCCUAGUGUAGCGGUGAAAUGCGUAGAUAUUAGGAGGAACACCAGUGGCGAAGGCGGAUUGCUGGACAGCAACUGACGGUGAGGCGCGAAAGUGUGGGGAGCAAACAGGAUUAGAUACCCUGGUAGU
rnacentral:rRNA from 1 species